GGGCUGGGGAGAGCAGAGGGAGCGAGAGCACCGGUGGCUCCUGCCACGUAUUCCUCCCGGCCGCGGCGGCGAGGCAGGAAGCCGAGGUUAGUGGGUCAGAGAAGAAGAACUCUGGUCUGCCUGGAAUCUCCUGGGUUUUCAGGGCGGUCUUCACUCAGAAAGCAGCAAGUCCAAAAUAGGAAGACACCAUUCUUGACACCCAGUUCUGGGAAAGCUUUCCCAGGGUCCUCCUAAAGGAUGAGGCAGCUCAAAGGAAAACCCAAGAAGGAGACUUCAAAAGAUAAGAAGGAGCGGAAGCAAGCCAUGCAGGAGGCCCGGCAGCAGAUCACCACUGUGGUGCUGCCUACGCUGGCUGUGGUGGUGGUCCUGAUCGUGGUGUUUGUCUAUGUUGCCACACGCCCUGCCACUGCUGAGUGAGCCAUGCCUCACACCAUCUCAGGACUGGAGGGGACUAGAUCAGGAGGCAGAAAAGAAAAGCCAAAAAGGAAAAAAAAAAUUGCUUCUAAUUUCAGAGACUUUAAUGCUACUGAGUCUGAAGCUCCCUAUCUCCCCUGGCCUUGGGCUUGAUUAAAGUUUCUCAGUUCUCUUGGAAUGUAAUAGGAAAUGUAUUAUCAGUGAAUGUGCCAUACACCUUAUGGUCCACUUCAUGUGCCUUUCAGACUUAAAAAAGGGGUGUUUCUUUCUAAAACCGAUGUAUAUGUAGCUCCAUCUGGAGAAAGGAGAAAUCUGCCGUGCCAUAAAUCAGUAUGAAUCAGCUUUCCACUCAUCCCUGUCAUCUAGAGCAUAGUUUCUAUGACUCUUUUCAUAUGUGUGCUUCACCACUUCCAAAGGGACUGUAUGUCUCUGUGCUUCAUGUGAUUUGAAAUAUAUCAACUCAAAGGUGAAAUAUUUAUUUUUGGAAUAAAGGAGAUUAUAGCCUUAAA